UACAGAGGGUGCGAGCGUUUAAUCGGAAUUACUGGGCGUAAAGGGUGCGUAGGCGGUUUUUUAAGUUAGAUGUGAAAUCCCCGGGCUUAACCUGGGAAUUGCAUUUAAGACUGGAAGGCUAGAGUAGAGUAGAGGGAAGUGGAAUUUCCGGUGUAGCGGUGAAAUGCGUAGAUAUCGGAAAGAACAUCAGUGGCGAAGGCGGCUUCCUGGACUCAUACUGACGCUGAGGCACGAAAGCAUGGGGGGCAAACAGG
rnacentral:rRNA from 1 species